rnacentral:rRNA from 1 species
CCUACGGGCGGCAGCAGUGAGGAAUAUUGGUCAAUGGGCGCGAGCCUGAACCAGCCAAGUCGCGUGCGGGAAGACGGUCCUAUGGAUUGUAAACCUCUUUUGUCGGGGAGCAAAAGACGCACCGCGUGGCGUUCCGAGAGUACCCGAAGACAAAGCAUCGGCUAACUCCGUGCCAGCAGCCGCGGUAAUACGUAGGAUGCGAGAGUUAUCCGGAUUUAUUGGGUUUAAAGGGUGCGCAGGCGGAAGAGCAAGUCAGCGGUAAAAUUGAGAGGCUCAACCUCUUCGAGCCGUUGAAACUGGUUUUCUUGAGUGAGUGAGAAGUAUGCGGAAUGCGUGGUGUAGCGGUGAAAUGCAUAG